rnacentral:lncRNA from 1 species
GCAGUGGGCUGGUGGGCAACAGAGCCAAAACCAGAACCAGGAGAGAAGGACCUUCACUUCUAGAGUCUGUGUGGACAAGAUGAGUUGAGUUGGAAAGGAGAGAAAAUAACUGAACCACAUUAGUGGACAAGCACCUCCUGCCUGCUGGUGGAAAGAUAUUGAGGGAAGUGGAAAUGCUGAAGGACUUCCAGCCACCAGCUUGUCCUGCCUGUGUUACCUGACCCAACCAGAGAUUCAGACACACCCACUGUCUGUAGCAGCGUGCCAAUCCCUGGUACCCUGUGAUCCCACGGCGCUGAACUUCCAUCCAGUUGGAAUGUGCAUUAUGGAGGGGAACCAAGAAGACGUCAUGUCACAAGGUGAAUGAACCACAAGGCAAAGGUGUUUUGAGGAGGACAGGACACACGGGACACAGCUAUUGUCAAUGGUCAUUUUAUUAAAUUCACUAUCAGUAGCAACCAUUUUUAUUCACAGAGACUGAAGAUAAAUAUACAAGGCCUGUAACAUGGAGGCACUUCAAUGACGGGGCACUGAAAUGUGACUUUGGCUCAUAGCACCUUGUAGCAUGUUUUCACCAUGGACUGCACUUCCAGAACAAUAGGCAGCACAACAUACAAAACAAAUUGUAAAUUAUUUAAGUACACAUUGGUACAUUGAACCCCCCCCCCCCACACACACACACACACACACACAUACACACACAGCCUUGGAUUGGUUCAGAAAUGGUGCUUCUCUAAGUCUACAUAUGGCAGGGUACUAGGACUGGCAAAGCCCGGGCACAGCUGCUUGGAGAGGGC